CCUACGGGAGGCUGCAGUGAGGAAUAUUGGUCAAUGGACGAGAGUCUGAACCAGCCAAGUAGCGUGAAGGAUGACUGCCCUAUGGGUUGUAAACUUCUUUUAUAUGGGAAUAAAAUGUUCCACGUGUGGGAUUUUGUAUGUACCAUAUGAAUAAGGAUCGGCUAACUCCGUGCCAGCAGACGGGGUAAUACGGAGGAUCCGAGCGUUAUCCGGAUUUUUUGGGUUUAAAGGGAGCGUAGGUGGAUUGUUAAGUCAGUUGUGAAAGUUUGCGGCUCAACCUGAAAAUUGCAGUUGAAACUGGCAGUCUUGAGUACAGUAGAGGUGGGCGGAAGUCGUGGUGUAGCGGUGAAAUGCUUAGAUAUCACGAAGAACUCCGAUUGCGAAGGCAGCUCACUGGACUGCAACUGACACUGAGGCUCGAAAGUGUGGGUAUCAAACAGGAUUAGAUACCCCAGUAGUC
rnacentral:rRNA from 1 species